rfam:Lactobacillus silagei DNA, scaffold: sequence78, strain: IWT126.
AGGUGGGGCAGAUGAUUAGGGUGAAGUCGUAACAAGGUAGCCGUAGGAGAACCUGCGGCUGGAUCACCUCCUUU